rnacentral:lncRNA from 1 species
UCAAGCUGUGCACUACGCAACCUCUUCUUCUCUCUCGAGUUUGCUAAUGAUUAUACAAAUACAGAGAAAUCAGAAAUAUAUAUAUAUAUAUAUAUGAAAUAAAACAUAUUAUUAAAAAAAAAGAGAAAAAAAAAAGAUAAGAAAGAAAAACUAGAAGAGAACAACAACGUAAGCAAAAAAACCCCAAAACUUGCAAAAGGAUUGGGUCUGAAUCUAAUUGCCACAAAAGAGACUUCAACAAACAGAGCUUAUAGUUUUGAAUUGAAUUGAAUUGCUCCUCUCCGCUCUUUAUUAAUAGGGUUUAUAUAUAAUAUGCUAUACUGAUUUCGUAUUGGGUAAGGCCUUGU